GGAAGUAAAAGUCGUAACAAGGUCUCCGUAGGUGAACCUGCGGAGGGAUCAUUACGGUUUGGAAGGUCCUCCACUCUCACCCUUUGUGUUAUACCCUGUUGCUUCGGGGGCCACCCCGCUCGUCGGGGGCCCCCGGUGGCACACCAAAACUCUGUAUCAUCGCGUCCGAGUCGUAUACCAAUUAUACAAAACUUUCAACAACGGAUCUCUUGGUUCUGGCAUCGAUGAAGAACGCAGCGAAAUGCGAUAAGUAAUGUGAAUUGCAGAAUUCAGUGAAUCAUCGAAUCUUUGAACGCACAUUGCGCCCUGGUAUUCCGAAGGGCAUGCCCGUCCGAGCGUCAUUUCACCACUCGAGCCCUGCUCGGUGUUGGGCGCCGCGUCCACCGCGCGCCUUAAAGUCCUCGGCCGCGUGGUCCAUCCCCGAGCGUUGUGGCAUUACGUCUCGCUCCGGGCUGAUGGGCCGUGCCGGCCGUUAAGCCUCUCACACAGGUUGACCUCGGAUCAGGUAGGGAUACCCGCUGAACUUAAGCAUAUCAAUAAGCGGAGGA
rnacentral:rRNA from 1 species